AGAGUUUGAUCCUGGCUCAGGACGAACGCUGGCGGCGCGCCUAACACAUGCAGGUCGAACGAGAGAUGAGGAGCUUGCUCUUCAAAUCGAGUGGCGAACGGGUGAGUAACGCGUGAGGAACCUGCCUCAAAGAGGGGGACAACAGUUGGAAACGACUGCUAAUACCGCAUAAGCCCACGGCUCGGCAUCGAGCAGAGGGAAAAGGAGUGAUCCGCUUUGAGAUGGCCUCGCGUCCGAUUAACUGGUUGGUGAGGUAACGGCCCACCAAGGCGACGAUCGGUAGCCGGACUGAGAGGUUGAACGGCCACAUUGGGACUGAGACACGGCCCAGACUCCUACGGGAGGCAGCAGUGGGGAAUAUUGCACAAUGGGGGAAACCCUGAUGCAGCGACGCCGCGUGGAGGAAGAAGGUCUUCGGAUUGUAAACUCCUGUUGUUGAGGAAGAUAAUGACGGUACUCAACAAGGAAGUGACGGCUAACUACGUGCCAGCAGCCGCGGUAAAACGUAGGUCACGAGCGUUGUCCGGAAUUACUGGGUGUAAAGGGAGCGCAGGCGGGAGAACAAGUUGGAAGUGAAAUCCAUGGGCUCAACCUAUGAACUGCUUUCAAAACUGUUUUUCUUGAGUAGUGCAGAGGUAGGCGGAAUUCCCGGUGUAGCGGUGGAAUGCGUAGAUAUCGGGAGGAACACCAGUGGCGAAGCGGCCCACUGGGCACCAACUGACGCUGAGGCUCGAAAGUGUGGGUAGCAAACAGGAUUAGAUACCCUGGUAGUCCACACCGUAAACGAUGAUUACUAGGUGUUGGAGGAUUGACCCCUUCAGUGCCGCAGUUAACACAAUAAGUAAUCCACCUGGGGAGUACGACCGCAAGGUUGAAACUCAAAGGAAUUGACGGGGGCCCGCACAAGCAGUGGAGUAUGUGGUUUAAUUCGACGCAACGCGAAGAACCUUACCAAGUCUUGACAUCCCUUGACGAACAUAGAAAUAUGUUUUCUCUUCGGAGCAAGGAGACAGGUGGUGCAUGGUUGUCGUCAGCUCGUGUCGUGAGAUGUUGGGUUAAGUCCCGCAACGAGCGCAACCCUUAUGGUCAGUUACUACGCAAGAGGACUCUGGCCAGACUGCCGUUGACAAAACGGAGGAAGGUGGGGAUGACGUCAAAUCAUCAUGCCCUUUAUGACUUGGGCUACACACGUACUACAAUGGCGUUAAACAAAGAGAAGCAAGACCGCGAGGUGGAGCAAAACUCAGAAACAACGUCCCAGUUCGGACUGCAGGCUGCAACUCGCCUGCACGAAGUCGGAAUUGCUAGUAAUCGUGGAUCAGCAUGCCACGGUGAAUACGUUCCCGGGCCUUGUACACACCGCCCGUC
rnacentral:rRNA from 1 species